rnacentral:tRNA from 1 species
GCUAGUAGAAAGUGUCUGACUUCUAAUCAGGCGAUUGUGGGUUCGAGUCCCAC